rnacentral:rRNA from 1 species
UACGAAGGGUGCAAGCGUUAUUCGGAUUUACUGGGCGUAAAGCGCGCGCAGGCGGAUUGGUAAGUCAGAUGUGAAAUCUCGGGGCUCAACCUCGAAACUGCGUCUGAAACUACUGAUCUAGAGUGUUGGAGGGGGAAGUGGAAUUUCGCAUGUAGGGGUAAAAUCCGUAGAGAUGCGAAGGAACACCAGUGGCGAAGGCG